UACGUAGGGUGCAAGCGUUAAUCGGAAUUACUGGGCGUAAAGCGUGCGCAGGCGGUUUUGUAAGACAGAGGUGAAAUCCCCGGGCUCAACCUGGGAACUGCAUUUGUGACUGCAUGGCUAGAGUUUGGCAGAGGGGGGUAGAAUUCCACGUGUAGCAGUGAAAUGCGUAGAGAUGUGGAGGAACACCGAUGGCGAAGGCAGCCUCCUGGGAUGACACUGACGCUCAUACACGAAAGCGUGGGGAGCAAACAGG
rnacentral:rRNA from 1 species